AUCCAGCUGACGAGUCCCAAAGAGCAGGAAACGCGCGUCCUGGAU
rnacentral:hammerhead_ribozyme from 1 species